AUUGAACGCUGGCGGCAGGCCUAACACAUGCAAGUCGAACGAGAGGCGGACGGGUGAGUAAUGUCUGGGAAACUGCCUGAUGGAGAGGGAGAACUAAUGGAAACGGUAGCUAAUACAGCAUACCAUCCGCUGUGCCAGGAUGGGGUGAGCGAGUUGGUUGGGUACCGGCUCACCAAGGAGACGAUCCCUAGCUGGUCUGAGAGGAUGACCAGCCACACUGGAACUGAGACACGGUCCAGACUCCUACGGGAGGCAUCAGUGGUGAAGAUUGCACAAUGGGCGCAAGCCUGAUGCAGCCAUGCCGCGUGUAUGAAUAAGUCCGUCGGGUUGUAAAGUACUUUCAGCGGGGAGGCGUUACCCGCAGAAGAAGCACCGGCUAACUCCGUGCCAGCAGCCGCGGUAAUAC
rnacentral:rRNA from 1 species